GACGAACGCUGGCGGCGUGCUUAACACAUGCAAGUCGAGCGGUAAGGCCCUUUCGGGGGUACGACGAGCGGCGAACGGGUGAGUAACACGUGGGUGACCUGCCCUCAGCUCUGGGAUAAGCCUGGGAAACUGGGUCUAAUACCGGAUAUGACUCCAUGACGCAUGUUGUGGGGUGGAAAGCCUUGUGCGGCUGAGGAUGGGCCCGCGGCCUAUCAGCUUGUUGGUGGGGUGAUGGCCUACCAAGGCGACGACGGGUAGCCGGCCUGAGAGGGCGACCGGCCACACUGGGACUGAGACACGGCCCAGACUCCUACGGGAGGCAGCAGUGGGGAAUCUUGCGCAAUGGGCGAAAGCCCGACGCAGCGACGCCGCGUGAGGGAUGACGGCCU
rnacentral:rRNA from 1 species